rnacentral:rRNA from 1 species
UACGGAGGAUCCGAGCGUUAUCCGGAUUUAUUGGGCUUAAAGGGUGCGUAGGCGGCCUAUUAAGUCAGGGGUGAAAGACGGUAGCUUAACUAUCGCAGUGCCUUUGAUACUGAUAGGCUUGAAUGUACUUGAGGUAGGCGGAAUGUGACAAGUAGCGGUGAAAUGCAUAGAUAUGUCUCAGAACACCGAUUGCGAAGGCAGCUUACUAUGGUCUUAUUGACGCUGAGGCACGAAAGCGUGGGGAGCAAACAGG